UAGUGAGGUCGGUCGAGUGAUGACAUUUGUGAGAAUAUUAUGUUGGGGUAAAAAGGAAAUUGGUUUUGUGGUAUUUGGAAGUUGAUGUUUGUUUGUUGGAUGUUUUGUAAUGUGUAUGAUGGGUUUGGGGCUCGUGUUUAUUGGUGGGAAGAUUGAUAAAAAAAUCUUAUGAUUGUUGUUGGUAGUAUAGGGUAUUCUCUUGGUUUUAUGAUUGGGUGUAUGACGUGUAUUAGUUUUUGGGUUUGGGUAUUUAUGGUUUGUUGUUGGUUUUGU
rnacentral:lncRNA from 1 species